AACGCUAGCUACAGGCUUAACACAUGCAAGUCGAGGGGCAGCGGGGUUGAAGCUUGCUUCAACCGCCGGCGACCGGCGCACGGGUGAGUAACACGUAUCCAACCUGCCGAUAACUCCGGGAUAGCCUUUCGAAAGAAAGAUUAAUACCGGAUGGCAUAGUUUUCCCGCAUGGAAUAACUAUUAAAGAAUUUCGGUUAUCGAUGGGGAUGCGUUCCAUUAGGCAGUUGGCGGGGUAACGGCCCACCAAACCGACGAUGGAUAGGGGUUCUGAGAGGAAGGUCCCCCACAUUGGAACUGAGACACGGUCCAAACUCCUACGGGAGGCAGCAGUGAGGAAUAUUGGUCAAUGGACGAGAGUCUGAACCAGCCAAGUAGCGUGAAGGAUGACUGCCCUAUGGGUUGUAAACUUCUUUUAUACGGGAAUAAAGUUAGCCACGUGUGGUUUUUUGCAUGUACCGUAUGAGUAAGGAUCGGCUAACUCCGUGCCAGCAGCCGCGGUAAUACGGAGGAUCCGAGCGUUAUCCGGAUUUAUUGGGUUUAAAGGGAGCGUAGGCGGGGUAUUAAGUCAGUUGUGAAAGUUUGCGGCUCAACCGUAAAAUUGCAGUUGAUACUGGUAUCCUUGAGUGCAGCAGAGGUGGGCGGAAUUCGUGGUGUAGCGGUGAAAUGCUUAGAUAUCACGAAGAACUCCGAUUG
rnacentral:rRNA from 1 species